GACGAACGCUGGCGGCGUGCUUAACACAUGCAAGUCGAACGAAAAGAGGGAAAGAGCUUGCUCUUUCCGGAAUUGAGUGGCAAACGGGUGAGUAACACGUAAACAACCUGCCUUCAGGAUGGGGACAACAGACGGAAACGACUGCUAAUACCGAAUAAGUUCCAAGAGCCGCAUGGCCCAUGGAAGAAAAGGUGGCCUCUACCUGUAAGCUAUCGCCUGAAGAGGGGUUUGCGUCUGAUUAGCUGGUUGGAGAGGUAACGGCCCACCAAGGCGACGAUCAGUAGCCGGUCUGAGAGGAUGAACGGCCACACUGGAACUGAGACACGGUCCAGACUCCUACGGGAGGCAGCAGUGGGGAAUCUUCCGCAAUGGGCGAAAGCCUGACGGAGCAACGCCGCGUGAGUGAUGACGGCCUUCGGGUUGUAAAACUCUGUGAUCCGGGACGAAAAGGCAGAGUGCGAAGAACAAACUGCAUUGACGGUACCGGAAAAGCAAGCCACGGCUAACUACGUG
rnacentral:rRNA from 1 species